GCUCAUUGCGCAUGCCCCAUUAUUGCGCGGGAAAUUUAAACACCCAGACGUCCUAAUUGCUGCUACUAGCAGAGUCAGUGGGGGCCACCAACCGGAUGGGGAACUCUACCCGGCGUUUUGCAGAAUCCGCUAUUGGUGCCCCUCCUGAGAGGAAGAAACAGUAACAAGGACUGAGUUAGUGGGUGAGGAAAGUUCAACUUUGUCUCCUGCACCCAUUCCUGCUCGAAUGCACAGGCCACCAACCGGAUGGGGAACUCUACCCGGCGUUUUGCAGAAUCCGCUAUUGGUGCCCCUCCUGAGAGGAAGAAACAGUAACAAGGACUGAGUUAGUGGGUGAGGAAAGUUCAACUUUGUCUCCUGCACCCAUUCCUGCUCGAAUGCACAGGUAUCGCCAGCGAUCCACCUCACCACUGGACCUGCUCUUUCCUUGCCUUGAAUUCACCAAAUCAAAUAUAUGCUGCAUGCAACCUUGUAAAAGAUUUACAUUCCCAGUUCUCUGACCUGAGGAUGCAGAGGAUAUAUAAUAUAAUGACUUGCAUACUCUACACAAAAACUAAUGGUUUCUGCUAUCGCCAGACCUAAGUGCUAAGACUUGAAGCACAUGAGGCAUUUUAUGUUGCAUAUUUCCAGAGAUAAAACAUACAUUGUCCAUACACAAAGCUGCCAUAAAAUGCCCCAUGAACCAUUACCCUAAGGAUGUAAUAUAGCAUUCCAAUUGUUCAUGUGCAGUAAUAACACAAUUAAUCAUGUUGACGAGUACACCAUUUACAAGCCAAUGAAAUGUACUGUAUUGUAAUGUAACUGUACUGAGCACUUCCUUAGAGGCAGCCUU